GGUGCAUCACGUUGAUGACUACCUACCACGUAUAUUUCACACCCUCUCAUAGGAAGAGACCAUCACAGCAAUUUUGUGCAACAGGGAAGUCUCGUUAGAGUCUUUUGAACUGAGAGGAGAGGUCCACUCCUGGUAAUUAUGUAGACUCCCCGUGAAAUCCGUGAAGAGCCCAUCAACUCCCAUCUUGUGAAUCCAGAACUCAUAUUCCUCAUAAGGAUCUUGAUUGAAGUUUAAGUGGAGAUACCUGUUCUCGUUCCUAUAGGUGUAAGGGUGCACCUGAAUUAAGCAUCACCAAGAUCAGAUAUCGAGAUUACCAGUCACAAUGAUGAAGUAAGCAUUGACCAGAUGAAUAUUAUCAUAAGCAACAUCUAAGUAGAGUGAAUUUGAAAGGACAAUAUGUAUUGACCAGAGAAUACAAUGUCUUACUCAACUGAUCGGUUUCGGAAACUUCUUUAGCACACCAAAAAUAUGAAAUCAUUCAGAAAGUCAGACUGGGGAAUACUUCUGUUGCAUUCAAUUAUCAUACACGGUAAAUAAUCACCUCCAAAUCGUGUGCAUGUGCUCGGGCAAUAAGAUCAGUCCGCGGUUGCAGAUAAUUGUUCACAACAGGAACCACAGUAUCUUUCCCAGGUCCAAUGCCCACUACAUAGUUCUUAAUAAAAUCGAAGUAUCCAUCCGAAGUAAUCUCCCAGUAUGACUGCAGAUUGUCAAAGGGCCAUUCAGACAAUUAGCAAACGCAAGUAGAAGUCAAAUAUGCUUCCAUCUCACCAAAGAAAGGGAAAAAAAAAAGAGAAAAAAAGAAGAAGCUGCUUCAGAACUAAUUAUUUGAGUAGAGGCUCCAUCAGGAAACUCAAUGGUGCAUCAGAUGAAUUAUGCAUGCAGAGGUCCCUCAGUUAAAUUUAGAUGUGUUUGAUUCAAUUUGAUCUAAACCAAAAUGACUUCAAUACGAAAAAUGUUAUUUUAAUUUUGGAAAAAGAAAAAAAUAAAAUAAAAUUCAGGAAUUGGUGACAGCAAUGGCAAACACCUCUCCAAGAUUGAAAAGGCAGCAAACUUACCUGGUUAGUGUCCUCAGUAGGAACGGUAAUGUCAUCAAUCAAGAAGAUUUUGGGCAAAUCUGUCAGAUUUGAUGCAUACACAAGGGAAGUAGGAGCAAAAGACUGGAUAAAUGCAGGUUGCUUCUUCCAUUCAUCCGACAGAUAUGAACCCUUAUAUCCAUACUUCUUAAGUGUCUCCACAAACACAUCCUCAAAUUUCUUCCCAUUUUGCCACUUCACCUGUACCGUGAGAGGAAGAGAAACUGUGUCAUCUACAACAGCUGAACGGACUUACUAGGUUGCUGAUGUAAAAUAAUUGGUUAUACCCACCUCAAAAAUAGAAAUUUUUUUAAAGGUACUGAAAUUGUUAUUAAUUAUUUGCAUGCAAUUUCGCAAGUGCAUGUUAAAAACUAGUAAUAAAGUGCAAUGUGUAGGCAAUAGCUCAAUGUUAAGAGGUUCUGCAUCUGUGGUGCCCUGCAACAUUAAAUUCUCAUUCUUUUUUGAACCAAGGAAAUGGAAAAGAUAACAUCUCAGUGAUAAUCAGCCAAAUAUCUAUUUUCUACCUCUCAAUGUUGAUGAGGCCAAAUCAAUAGUGGUAAAAGAGGACUCAAUUGCAUCUUUACACUAUGGGAGAUAGAGACUACGAUGUCCUAUCAUUCGAGUGACAGCUUACAAGAGAAUCCACUCACACGUUCAUUGAUGAACACAGGGUACUUAAUCUCAGGGUAUAUGCCGACAACUCUGGUUGCAUCCAGUGCGAUUGUAAUGUACUCUUCAAAAGUAAUAAUUUGAAAUUUCCCUGAGCAUGAGGAAGAUAAGAGUCAUUCAUUCCACCAGUUGAGAAGGAUAUGGAAGUAGUCUUAAUACUGCUAAAAGAAUAUAAGAAUUAGGAAGUUUGACUGAUUUAGAUAGCAUGUUUGCUGUAAAAGGUUUUAAAAAUUUUCCAUGUCUAAAACUCAGGCCUGAUACAUGCAACAAUCUAAAAGUUGAAAAGAAAGGUAUAGAAAAUCUGCAGUUUGGACAACGUGAUUAUCAUCUUUUUCUAAGCACAAUAAAAUGAUAUCCAUCAAAGGGGAUUCAGUUGCAAAUAAUGGUAGAGGCAAGCAAACUAUGGCCAUGAGUACAUUCAGCAGCAAUCGAAGGAUGACCUUAAAGAUAACACUGUUGAUUCAGUAACGAGUAACCAACCAUUAUAUUGCUGAUCCCGGAAUGGGUACCUCUGUCUCACCCUCAACGACUUUAGUUCUUUCAACGUGAAAUCAACUGCAUGUCAAGACGGUAGUAUAAGCAGAACAUAGCAAAAGGGUGAAAAUUCCUGUGAAUACACAGUCGAGGAGAAAUCAUUACCAGUAAAGAAGCCAGUAGUGUUAUUGCCUUGAACUACAUAGGUUCUAUUACGGUUAGCAAAUUCCUUGUGUUGAGCAACAUCGGUUGUAUUAUCAAGAGUCACAUCAUGGAAGCAUAUAAGAACACCAUCUUUGGACGAUAAAAUGUCUGUUUCAAUGAAGUCUGCGCCCUCUUUAAUUGCUCUCUGCAAUCAUCAGGUGACCCAAAGUUAGCAGGAAUAGUUUUCACCUGAUUGCAAAAUCUAUACGUAUAUCUGCAAAUAUGUAGAUCAACAGACUAAUGUAGAACCUCCAUGGAAACUGAAAAUAUGUACUCAUCACAUGGACCAGGCCCUAGACAUAGGUAUGCUUUCACUUUGACAACUUUACAAUGUCUAUCAGCAUAGAUCUAGAAGAAUACUAGUCAAUCCAGAGUCAAAUUCUUAAUGUGUAUCAUUUGAGAACAUAGCCUCGUCCAUCUUUCUGCCAAAUAUUGAGCACAUUUGAUAGAUGAAAGGUUAAACUCUGCAUCAUCACCAUAUAAGCAGCAGCAGUUUCUUCAGGAAGCUCUCCAUUUGAACCUCGAUGGGCUAUAUUAUAAGGACGAGAGGUCUGUAGUGGUCGUCUUUCUCCUUCUGCCACUUCGCUGGGGGGAGGGUAGAAAGGCCUUGCAGCACUCCCCACAAUGAGACAUGAAAGGGCAAAGAGAAUGAGACCUGCAAAUAUUUUCCAGCAUCACCGACAGCAAAAAGAGAUCACCCAAAGACAAAAUCAACAUGACAGACGACAAAUGCUGGUGUGCAUUUUAUUUAUUUCUCGAUCAGAGUCAUGCAAUACUCGAGCAUAUUAUCAUACAAUUAAAAUAGUUCAUCUGAGUGUUAUCUGACUAUGGCUGAGUUCCCCAUAUCAGAGGUUGUAGAAUAGAACAGAGAAAGCUUAAUAAAAUGCAGCAACAGCAGCCCAGGAAAAAAAAUAAAAAAAAAAUCCUUGACUAAACCUUCAACAAAUGCAUACAGUUAUCGAUACGAAUUCUCAAACCAUCAUAAUCAUAAUCUCCUCCAUCAUAUGGGCUUCCACAAUUCCAGCACAGUUCACCCAAGCCAAUGUGAUAAAACAAGAAAACAGACACGUGACCAUCAUCCCCCGGCAAAGAAAAAUCAGCAUACUAAGUGACUAAAUAAUAUCGAUACUGACACGCGACACGCGAUACAACAUGACACGACACGAAUUUCUUAAAAAAUAAAAAAUUUCGACAUGUUGGGAUACAUUGUAUAUUAGAUAUAUAUUUUUAUAUAUACAUAAUAAAGUAUCAUUUUUAUAAUUAUUUCAGUCAAAUUAAUUUGAAUCAAAUUCAUAAAUAAAUAAAUAAUUAAAAAAGCCUAUAAUGAAUACACACUAAUCCAUUAAUUCGUCAUUUAUUAAUAUCAUUCAUUGUUUUGAUUUGAUAAAUUCAACUCUAUUUCAAUAAUUCAUAAAAUUUGAAGAAAAAACAAGUGAUCAAUGUUCUGGACUCGAAUAUUAGAUAUGUUAAAAGAGAAGUAAAAAAACUUAAGGGUGAAUUGUGUAUCACUAGAAAUGAGAGUCAGAAGAGAAGAGAAGACUAAGUUUUUCUUCUUUCUCUAUUAUUAUUUUUAUUAUUGUGUUUUAUUUUUUCAUAUAUAUAUUUUGAUAUCUUAUUUAUUGAAUUUUUAAAUUUGACGUCGAUAUCAAAUGUUAGAAUUCCGACUCGAGUGUCGGAGAGUGUCAAGAAAGUUGACCAUGUGUCGAAUUUUCUGACAUGUGUUGACCGAGUGUCGAAGAGUGUUCGAUACGACACGAAGGCUCUCGGAUUGUAUUGGUGUUUCAUAGCUAAGCGAAACGAAAGAGAACCCAUUCCUCACAUGAAUAAGUAAAACUGGACCGAUGCCAGCGCACAACUAUAUGCUCGAGACUAAAGAAGGACAGACAGCCACAGCAAGAACGAAACAAGAGAAAAUAAAAAUAAAAACAAGAAUCGAUCAAAGCUUCAAGAUUCCAACUUACAGGCAGAACCCAUGAUUCUUGUCUCGACCCUGCCUUCUGUCUCUCACCCAGAACCCUCUCUGCACCUCCCUCUCGCCCCCCUCCCUGUCGACUGGUCUGGCUUUCUUGCACUCCUUUUCCCGGGUGCCGUUCUUGCCUUGUAUACCGUCGACAGUCCCCUUUUUUUUUGGGGUUUCUUCUCGGUCCGGUCGUCUUUUAAUAGGAUUCCAGGUUGGGUUGGGGGACUUUUCGCCGUGGAUCUAGACGCGAGCUCCCCAAGUCAUCCAUUCCUUAUCCUCACCCGGGACGGCUCCUUGUCUUUCUCAAGGAUUGACCGACUAAUCUUGGAAGAGUAGCUAAGCUCUCAAGGCAACGCCUCGCCACGUGUGGAGCAACGGGCGGUGCUCGGUCUUGUCCGUAUAUGCUCUCAGCGUCGGAAGUCUUGGUUCGGGUCAACGCAUUGCGUUCAGUUUUGGACCACUUUACAUCAAUCGUGAACUAUAAUGGCAGUUGAUUCAUUGAAUUGGGGAGGGAGAAUUUUGGGGUGAUUCGAUGUAAUAUUCCGAUGAAGAGGUUGGCCGCUUUCAUUUGCAAAUUAGUCUGAUUCAAUGUAGCAUCUAAUCAAAACUGAGCAUGAUUCGAAAUUUUAAACUAUCGCGAAUCAACCGCUUAUAAAAUGCGAGAGUGUACUUUUGCAAUUUGUUUGUGGCGACCUAUUUGGCCAAAGGGUUUGCUAUGUACAUUGAUAGCAACUUCCUUAUUACAUGGGCCACAUGUGUACUAGAGGCAAGAUGACCAUAGCCUCAUUGGUCAAAAUUUAUUAUAUCACGCGUUUUUUGACAUCGAUUCAGACGGAAAAAGAUGUGACAUACCAAGAACAUUGACAAAUUCACCACAUUCUACUGUUUGACAUUAAUGAAACCCAAUAAUUUAUAGCACAUUUGAGAGUCCUACCUAAGACACGUUUCAAAGCAUAAAUCUCCGUUUUUAAGACUCUUUUCACAGCAGAAAUCACAUUCUGCUAUUCGGUCGCUUUCAUUUGAAGUUACAGGAAUGCUAGAGGUGAAGGUUGUGUCUUCAAUGUGGAGUUAACAGAUGAAGAUGUAAGUGGGAUACUGCUUUUUAAUUCUAAACUUCCGGUGAUAUAUUUAAGAAGCAUAUUCAGCUCUCAGAUAUAUGACCACUGCAUCGCAACUGAAUGAUUUAGUCGGCUCGUUGUGCAGGGUACACAAACACAAGCAACAAUGUUCAAUGACGCUGCCAGGAAAUUCUAUGACAAGCUUGAAAUGGGAAAGGUGUAUUACAUAUCAAGAGGAACGCUGAAGGUCGCUAAUAAACAGUUCAAGACAGUGCAAAAUGACUAUGAGAUGACCUUGAACGAGAAUUCUGAAGUGAAAGAGGCCAGUAGUGAAGCUUCUUUUGUCCCCGAAACAAAAUUUAAUUUUGUCCCAAUCGAUAUGUUAGGUCCCCAUGUCAACGGGAAAGAGCUCAUUGGUAAGAAUACAAGUAUCCACUCCAAUGCUCACUUCGGUGUGAUGUAAUUUGAUACACGCGCCCUAAUUCUCUCUUUAUUGAUUCAGAUGUUAUUGGCGUGGUUCAAGGUGUUUCUCCUACCAUAAGCAUACGAAGAAAAAGCAACGAUGACAUUAUCCCUAAGCGCGAUAUAACUAUUGCUGAUGAGACGUAAGUUUUUCCCACCAUUUUUGGAGCCUCUCUUGUUUGUUGUCGUCUAAUGCCUAACACAAGUGUAUGAAAAUCAGGAAGAAGACCGUUGUGGUUUCUCUGUGGAAUGAUCUUGCGACCACUGUAGGUCAGGAAUUGCUCGACUCUUCUGACCAAUCGCCUAUUGUUGCUAUAAAGUCCUUGAGAGUUGGGGAUUUCCAAGGUAAUUGCUAUCUUGAUUUUUUUUUUUGGUUAUAUACUUGGUUCAAAGAGUUCUGUUCUUGUUUGGAUUUAGGACAGUGGAUUGAUUUAUAUGAUGAAUUUUGUUUUUUUUUAAUAUUUGCCAAACCUGAAUAAAAUAAGUUCCUAGUUCAUAUUCGAAAAGUUUUAUGUACUAACAUAUAUCUCGAGAGUGCAAUUUAUCCAAUUAAUGUAAUAAGGUAUAUCCCAUAUUAUAAAUUAAUGUUGUGGUGAUAAUAUAUGCUUUUAGUUGUCUUCAACUUUAAGAGUGGAUGAAUUACGUUACUGUGGUAUCCUCUUUCAGGUGUAUCUUUGUCUACAAUAAAGUAAAUCCAGAGACACCGGAAGCAAAGAAGCUGAGAUCCUGGUGAGUUUGUGUGGGCAAGCAACUAUGACCGUUCUGUUCUUUCUGCGCUUUUGAAUAGUUCUUUAAGUUAUGAACCCUUUUUUGAUAGGUUUGACUCUGAAGGUAAAGGCAGCUCAAUGGACUCUGUUGGUUCAGGCAUUACUGUCUUAUCAAGAAAUGGAUGAAGGUCCAUGUAUUCUGACAGAGUGUUCCUUUCUCAUUUUACUAGCAAUCCUUCUUUGGGUGAAGACAAGGUAAACAUGUAGAAUUUAGCUGACUCCAAGCUAACCCACCAUUUUUGUGGUAUGGGUCUGUUUCUCUGGUUUUAACUCGAUCGAUUCGUUUUGGAACAGCCUGCAUCUUUCAGCGUUAGAGCCUACGUGAGUUUCAUUAGGUCUGAUCAAACGAUGUGGUAUCGUGCAUGCAAAACAUGUAAAAAGAAAGUGACAGAAGCUAUUGGAUCUGGAUAUUGGUGCGAAGGGUGUCAGAAAAAUGAUGAAGGAUGCAGUUUGAGGUGAGAACCUUCGCAUUUACGAAAUUCUUUACAGAUAUAGUGGGUGUGAAGGCAAUAAUUGGCGCAUACUGUAUUUUCGUGCAAUUAAAUGAUAAUUGUUCUAUUUGUUUUCUCCGUUUUGAUGCUACAGAUACAUAAUGGUAGCGAAGGUUUCAGACCCAAGUGGUGAAGCAUGGCUUUCUGCAUUCAAUGAAGAAGCAGAGCAUAUCAUUGGGUGCCCAGCUGAUGAGCUCAAUCAACUGAGAUCACAGGUAAGCCAAGAACAAACAUAUAAAGGUAAAUUAAUCAGUGGUGCCCAGCUGAUGUGCUAAUGUCGAUAUCAAUUCUCGACGUUGUUUCAGGAGAACGAGGAGAACCCAUAUCAGCUAAUGCUGAAACUAGUAACUUGGGUUCCUCAUCUUUUCCGGGUCAGCAUAGCUCAGCAUGAGACUAUGAGUACAUGGCCGAAAAGAGGCAAAGGAUAACAGUGAGAGGAGUUGCUCCUGUUGAUUUCGCUGCAGAGUCCAGAUUUUUGCUGGAAGAAAUAUCGAAAGAGAAAGCUUCUCAGUAGGCUUUGGAUGGGUUUUGUCGUCUCUAACUAUGUGUUGGUUAAUCUCUCCUUGUCGAGUGGGGACUCCAUUUGGGAUCCUCUUCUUUUGCUUGUAUAUGGCUUUCAGGGUUUAGUAGAAACAGGCGGCUUGCUGCAUCUCUAGACUUGCUUUAAUAGUUACAACAUGUUUAUGUCUAUAAUCUCACUUUGCCAUCGAAAUUCAAUUUGCCAAAUCUGUGAUCGAAGUUAGUAAUUCUUCAAUUUCCUGACAUGAGAUUUUAAUGAAGCUUGGUGACUGUCACAUAUAGACUGAAUUUGAACCGAAACAGAACUAUGGGAUGUCCUGGUUAGAUCAGCACUGAUCCAUGAAUCCGCCACAAAAUAAUUAUUCUACCUCAAAAACUCAGGAGGCUAGAGCUAAGUGAACGUCUGAUCUUCCCAGUAGUAAUUUCCUGUCCAAGGGAGCUGCAGUUAAAUCCAAGGUUGCAUGUAUCACUAACAGCCCAGGUUAGUGUAACAUCAAAUGGAGAAGGUAUUGAUGGUAGUAUAAUGUUUAGGAAUAAGUGUGUUGGAAGUCUUAAAAUUUUAUCAUAAAUAUAUAAUUUAAUCUUAAAAGUUUCAAGAAGUGCAAUUGAAUUUUAAAAUUUAUUAUUUAAAACUCUUAAAAAGUGUAAUGAAAUCUUAAAACUUACUAAAUUGAUUAACUCUAAUCUUUCGAUAAUAUUUUUUCAAAGUUUUCUCACUCAAUUGCAUUUUUAUGAUAAGUUUUAGGACUUGAUUACAUUUUUUGAAAGUUUUAGUAUUCAAUUGUAUUUUUAUGAUAAAUUUUAGAAUUUAAAUACACUUUUUGAAAGUUUUAGGACAAUUUUGCACUUUCAUGACAGGUAUUAGGCUUGUAGUGCACUUAUCUAUAAUGUUUAACAAUAGAUUGCCAAGUCAAGGAUUUCUCAUGUAUUUCUGGACCAUAAUAUGCUCUCCUUCACCCUUUUGAUACCCUCAUCUUCAGUGUCGCGUUAUUCUCUUUUUGAAGCCAAAAAGAAAAUUUUAUUUGCACUGAGAUCAACAUUUCUUUACAGAGAGAACAAGUCUAAAAUGGUCCGAAACUUAGCAAGAGAAAGCGUAGACUGCAACAAAAUGACGUAGAGCUACUCCGGACACUCAACAGCUCAUUGGAACUCCCAAUAAAUCUACAAGAAAAAUUUCCAAAUGAUGACCAUAAGCCAGCGGAACGAGGGCUAAAGUUUUAUUCUUGGCAUAUGAUGACCAUGUACAGUCGUCCUCGCCGCUGCCGCCCCCGCUAAUUCACUAGCUAAACUUUCAUUCCAUGCAGAAGCACAUUUUACUCAUCUAACAAAUGAAAAAAAAUAAUGGUGCAUCACGUUGAUGACUACCUACCGCAUAUAUUUCACACCCUCUCAUAGGAAGAGACCAUCACAGCAAUUUUGUGCAACAGGGAAGUCUCGUUAGAGUCUUUUGAACUGAGAGGAGAGGUCCACUCCUGGUAAUUGUGUAGACUCCCCGUGAAAUCCGUGAAGAGCCCAUCAACUCCCAUCUUGUGAAUCCAGAACUCGUAUUCCUCAUAAGGAUCUUGAUUGAAGUUUAAGUGGAGAAACAUGUUCUCGUUCCUAUAGGUGUAAGG
rnacentral:lncRNA from 1 species